AGUGUAUUUAAUGCACCAUUAUUUUAGAUCAAAAAUAGAAACACAAAAAUAUUAUUGUAUAUUUUUUUGUUCGUUGGAUGUAAGGUCAGUGUUGCUUACGAAGUUGUUUGUCUGUUUUUUUUUUGUGUGACUGGUGGGAUUCGAACCCAAAUUAAGUGAGAUGUUUUCGAUGACUCGCCGCGCCUAUCCUCCGGACCAUGGAUGCUGCAUGUUUUGACCGGGAAAUUGUGCAACUUCAAGCAGCGCCCUUUCGUUGCCGGUGGCAAAUACUGUCGAUUUCACUCCAACACGCAGAGAACUAACAACGAUUCAAAACAAUAAUUAUUCUUGUUGUUUUCAAUAAGCUUUUUCAGUUUGUUGUAAAUCAACAAAUUGUGCUGAAACAGCAAUGACUUUUAUCAAAACAAAUAAAAAUAUUGUUGGAUUUGCUGGCAGCAUUUUCAAUUUGAUUUUUGUUGAAACAACAAAAUCAAAUCUUUAUUUCAAAUCAUAGAGUUAUUUGUUUCAGUUACUUUUAUUGUUAUUUGAAACGAAAAUUUAACUCAGUGUGUAAGGCAGUGUGUGGCCCGCCAUUUUAUUUCGCGCUGUAAACGGAGUGUAAGAAAAAAUGGCUGACGCGGAAGAGCUCAUCGAAGAACUCGAUGUGGAAAAAAAUAUCCGUGGAGGAAGUCGAGCUGAUAGAAUUGCUCAACAGUUUUAGAAUUACUGAAGCUAUUAUUGAAGCCCUUCUUGGUAAGUUUUAACCAUUCUUUUAUAGAAUUUCAAUUCUCAUCAGCCUUUUUUCGUGAUUGCAGUUAAUUCUUACACGAUUGAAACGCUAAAAGUGAUUCAGCGGCAAGAAAUCGAGCUGCUGAUUCUACCCCCGUCGCUUGCGGAGUGGACCAAAUUCAUUCAUACAUUGGAUAUUUGGAGAACAGCGCAGGGGCUACCAAAAGUCCAAAAAAUUCCAGCAAGUGGCAGCAGCUCUGCUUCGGUGCAAAAUACCAUUGUAAAGCCUUCUGAACCAAGGAUCACGUGGGAUUCAUGCACGGCCACCUAUUUGCUGAAAAACUCGUCGGAGGCACAAGCCAUCAUACGAAAAUACAGCCAAACACCGUUUCUCUCAAGAUCCGACAAAAUGUAUCACCCACUGAAUUUUAAAAUAUACGGUGUUAGAAGUUAUGAUCGUUUUUCUUAAUUUCAAAAUAAGAGCAAAAUAAAAUUUAGCGGGGUGGAGGGGGAGCAGAUCUGGGAUCAAUAAAAUCUUUAUUUAUUUCUAAUAAAAACAUUUUCAAAUUAAAAACCAAGUGUGAUUUAUUUUAAAAAUGUUAUGUUUUAUUUUAAAGCAAAAAUAUUGUUAUUUCGAAAGAAAAAAAUAUUGAAUCAAAAAUUAAUUUUGUUGAACCGCAUUGGACCCAGCUGUCAAAUUCAACAAUUAAUAUUUUUAAACUGAACUGCUUAUAGUUAUUAAAACAAUGAAAGGAUAUUAUAAGCCGGCAAAUAAUACAGAAAAAUGGUUGAAAUGAUACAGAUUUUUGUUGAUAUUAAAAAUGUUUUCGCUG